UCAGCAACUCCGCCUGUAGCUCUUCUAGAGUUACUGCCGGUCCCAAGCCGGGGUAAAGGAGGAGAGUUGG
rnacentral:ribozyme from 2 species